rnacentral:misc_RNA from 1 species
UCCGGAUUAGAUACCCUGGUAGUCCACGCCGUAAACGUUGGGCACUAGGUGUGGGACUCUAUCGACGGGUUCCGUGCCGUAGCUAACGCAUUAAGUGCCCCGCCUGGGGAGUACGGCCGCAAGGCUAAAACUCAAAGGAAUUGACGGGGACCCGCACAAGCGGUGGAUUAUGUGGAUUAAUUCGAUGCAACGCGAAAAACCUUACCUACCCUUGACAUGUCCGAGAGCCUGCUGAAAGGCGGGUGUGCCCGAAAGGGAAUCGGAACACAGGUGCUGCAUGGCUGUCGUCAGCUCGUGUCGUGAGAUGUUGGGUUAAGUCCCGCAACGAGCGCAACCCUUGUCAUUAGUUGCUACAUUCAGUUGGGCACUCUAAUGAGACUGCCGGUGACAAACCGGAGGA